rnacentral:tRNA from 2 species
GGUAGCGUGGCCGAGCGGUCUAAGGCGUUGGUUUUAGGCACCAGUCAUUUCGAUGGCGUGGGUUCGAAUCCCACCGCUGCCA